UACGGAGGAUGCGAGCGUUAUCCGGAUUUAUUGGGUUUAAAGGGUGCGCAGGCGGAUUUUUAAGUCAGCGGUCAAAUCGUGGGGCCCAACCCCAUCCAGCCGUUGAAACUGGGGAUCUAGAGUGUGCGAGAGGUAUGCGGAAUGCGUGGUGUAGCGGUGAAAUGCAUAGAUAUCACGCAGAACCCCGAUUGCGAAGGCAGCAUACCGGUGCACAACUGACGCUCAGGCACGAAAGCGUGGGUAUCGAACAGG
rnacentral:rRNA from 1 species